rnacentral:ncRNA from 1 species
UGCUAUUCGGCCCUCGGGACCGGCAACACUUUCAAAUUGACGGGAAAGUCCAAAACCCCCCCACACCAACCCACCCAGGAAAACCGGCUGGGGGCCCAAGGGAAAGCCUUGGGGUACGGUAACAGAUGGGGGGAUGCCACAAUGGACGACCCGCAGCGAAGCCCCUGUGCCCGACGCCUCCGCGCGUCCGGUUGGGGAACGUUCACAGGCCAAGUGGAAGUGGGUGAGGCAGAGCCACGCGUUGCUCGCCUUGCUUAAGAUAUGGUCGGGCCCCGGCGGAAACGUCGCGGGAGCUGUAAGCCGUUCCGUAGGUGAACCUGCGGAAGGAUCAUUA